rnacentral:rRNA from 1 species
GACGAACGCUGGCGGCGUGCCUAAUACAUGCAAGUAGAACGCACAGUUUAUACCGUAGCUUGCUACACCAUAGACUGUGAGUUGCGAACGGGUGAGUAACGCGUAGGUAACCUGCCUGGUAGCGGGGGAUAACUAUUGGAAACGAUAGCUAAUACCGCAUAAUAUUAAUUAUUGCAUGAUAAUUAAUUGAAAGGUGCAAUUGCACCACUACCAGAUGGACCUGCGUUGUAUUAGCUAGUAGGUGAGGUAACGGCUCACCUAGGCGACGAUACAUAGCCGACCUGAGAGGGUGAUCGGCCACACUGGGACUGAGACACGGCCCAGACUCCUACGGGAGGCAGCAGUAGGGAAUCUUCGGCAAUGGACGAAAGUCUGACCGAGCAACGCCACGUGAGUGAAGAAGGUUUUCGGAUCGUAAAGCUCUGUUGUAAGAGAAGAACGGGUGUGAGAGUGGAAAGUUCACACUGUGACGGAAUCUUACCAGAAAGGGGCGGCUAACUACGUG